CCUUCUUCUCAUGAAAUGAAUAAAAUAUUUCAUACUGAGUACGCUCAAAGCUUACAUUGAUCUAAUGUACCAUACCACUUGAGUACUGAAAACUCCGUUACUUAGUCACGUUUUUAAUUUGGAAUAAUUGAAUCUUCUAAAUGGCUUCCACUGUUCAUAUAGUGCAGUUAUAUUCCCAGGAAAUGUAAAAUGUCAUCAGUCAUAAU
rnacentral:lncRNA from 1 species